ACAUUUGUGUAAGUAUGAUUAAGGAAUUGUGAUUAAAAAAUAAAAUGUCGGAUAAAGAGGAUUAGGAAAAUGAAGUUAAUUGGAGACUGUGAAGGAGAUAUUAGAAUUGGCCAUUGGGGAGAGAGUUGGCACUUCCCAGUUGAGGUACCGACACAUGUCGGGCACAUGGGUCCUGUUGUAAUAAGGAGGAUUAGGAGAUUCACUUCCUCUGUUAAGGGGACCACAGAGCGUGCUGUGCACCGCCCUAUG